AUCAUAUACAUGAAGUAACCUUUUUAGGCCUUGAAAUUUGAAAGCAUUUAGAUUAUUUAGUUAAUCAAAGAUUCCCCCCUGAAACAAGCAUGGCGUCUCGAUCCGAAUAAAAACUCCGAAUUCCAUUAUGGCGCUUGAAGACGCACAAACAAUCCGGACUGACUGUUUCAUGUGGUUUUAUAAGAUAUUUUGAUUAUAUCCUCGGGACAUGUUUAGGGUAUUGCCAUAGAAAUCACAAUUCCUUUACAAAAGGUAUAGGCAAGAGAGCAUUGUUGCAACCACUAUUGAAAUAAAACCACUAUUGAAAUAAAUUAUUUCAAUAGUGGUUGGGAAUGUAUUUUAUUUGAAGAAUCACUUUACAACCACUAUUGAAAUAAAAUAUUUAAAUAGUGUUCCGGGAUGUAUUCCAUUUUGAAAAUCAAUUUACAGACACUGUUGAAGUACAACUACUAUUAGAAUUAUUUUUUUCAAUCGUAGCUUAGAAUGAAUUUCUUAAUUAAUAUUACUUUUAAAAUUUAUAUUUUUUCCUUUACAUUUCUCUUUCUACAUACAUAUUAUGUCCUAUAAUAAUGUAUAUUAUUUGCACAAUAAUGAACAUUUUGUAAAUGCCAGAACUUCUAUUCAAACCCCAUGUAUAUUGAAUAAUUAUUUGUUGAUAAAUAUCAUUAUAAAUAUCACUAUUAAUAUAAAUUAUUUCAAUAGUGGGUGGGGGUGUACUUCACUACGACCACUAUUGAAAUAUAUUAUAUCAAUAGUGGUAAAGGAUGCGAUUCAUUUCAAUCACUAUUGAAAUAAUUUAUUUCAAUAGUGGUUGGGGAUACCUUUCAUUUCAACCACUAUUGAAAUAAAGUAUUUCAAUAGUGGUUGGUGAUGCAUUUCAGUUUUAUGUCUAUUAUUAUGUCUGUUUGUAACACUUUCCUUUCUGCUAGGGUAGUUUCUUAAGAAAAGAAGUAUGUCUUAUGAGAUGAUGAAUUCCUUUUUAUUAUGAUGUUCUUUGAUUUACCUCUAUAUAUAUGGUAAUGUUUCCCAUACCGCCUGUCAUCUGGAACAGAAAGUGUUAUGCACAGUCGGAAUAAUAGUCAUUAAAAUAAUAUCCUACCACUAUUGAGAUACUUUAUUUCAAUAAUGGUUGUAAUGAGCCGCAUCCUUAACCACAAUUGAAAUAAAUUAUUUCAAUAGUGGUUGUAAUGAAAUACAUACCUGACCACUAUUGAAAUAAUUUAUUUCAAUAGUGGUUAUGAUGAAACGCAUACCCAACCACUAUUGAAAUAAUUUAUUUCAUUCAAUAUUGCUCUUAAUGAAGUACAUCCCCAACCAUUAUUAAAAUCAUAUAUCUUAAUAGUGAUAUUCAUUAUUACAUAAAUCUACAAUGAUAUAUAAGCUAUAAAUUACUUUUUAAUAUCCAGGGGUUUUGAAUAGAAGUUCUUGCAAUUUACAACGUUGUCGUCUAGUACAAAUAAUUUACAAUUUCCAUAAAACAUGAUAUAUCUAUAGAAAGAGAAAGGUAAAGAAAAAAAUAUGAAAACAAUUCUAUAUGUAAAUCUGCGAGGAUUGGUUAUUUCUGCACAACAGUGAAAAUGAUAAAAUAAGUACAUUCAUAUCAUAGUCUUUACUACUAUUGUAUAUGCAUGUUUAUCUGCGAGAAUUGGUUAUUUACUUCUACGCAGCAGUGAAAAUUGUAACAUAAUUGUGUAUUUGAUAUUAUUUGUUAGAUUUCUUGCUUUUCAAAAUAGUUUGCAAAUAUGAUAUACAACUUCUUUCUUUCCAAAUGUGUUACAAUAGUGAUUACAUAGUUAUAUUCAUAAAGUAAUUCAUCCCCACCUACGAUUAAAAAAAAUAAAUUUAAUAGUAGUUGAACUUUAAUGGUGUCUGUAAAGUAGUUCUUAUCAUAAAAUACAUCCCCAACUUCUAUUAGAAUCAUUAUUUCAAUAGUGGUUGUAUUUCAAUAGUGGUUGCAAGGUGAUUUUUCUGAUGAAAUACAUUUCCAACCACUAUUGAAAUAAUUUAUUUCAAUAGUGGUUGUAUUUCAAUAGUGGUUGCAAGGUGAUUUUUCUGAUGAAAUACAUUUCCAACCACUAUUGAAAUAAUUUAUUUCAAUAGUGGUUUUAUUUCAAUAGUGGUUUAUUUCAAUAGUGGUUGCAACAGAGCAUAUUUUCAGCGCGUUCAUGAAUAUAAGCCAUCUGUCAUUUUGUGUGCUCUUAUUGCUAGUAACAUGAUUCUUAUAAUUUAAGAAGAGAAAUUAUUGCUCAUAUAUCAAUUCAAACACAAAUAUUUAAGUUUGGGAGUUGUCUUAAACCAUGCGAGAAAUACAAUUAAAAAAAUAAUCUAUUUAACUACCGAGCAGGAUUUGAUGCGUCCCGAAAGACUCUACGAAAACUUGCACCCCCACCCCACCCCACUCCACAUAAAACACAAUAUAUCUAAUUACGCUUCACGGAACCUAUGUUUUUUUUUGCUUCCUUGUGAAGAUUUUCUGGAUGAGUCUGCCCCCCCCCCCACUUUCAAAAAUGAUGUUACGUGACUGACCAAAAUCUUGUGAGAAGGCCUGCGGGCCUUCUGUUUACAAACUGUUUACUUACUAUAAUUGCUCGUUUGUGACGCAUGCUGGAAUAUGUUGAAGGAGAGAAAAGUUCCGGGUUAUUGAGAGCCAUUGAAAAAAAAAAAGGAAAUUGUAGGAGUUUUGUUUGCAGACUUUAACACGUGUGUUUGUGUGCAUGCGUGUGUGUUUUUUCAUCUCUUGGUCGCCUUUGGAUGCACAGGGACCAAACUCGUUUUAACAUUUAUUUCAAUGUAACCUUUCAAGAGAAAAGAGUAGCAGAGCGGAUCGUCACCCGGCCUUGGCUAGCGCAGAUGGCUAUAAUGAUAGCUCAGUUUGAGGCAAAAUGUGACGGGUUUUUGUCUCUGUUUUGUAGGCCUGUAUUGAUGGGGUAGUCGGAUAUACUUUCAAUCCAAUACACAUAGAAGAAGAUGAACAGAAAAUCAUUUUGCCUGAUUUUUGCCGGUUGCUUGAUGACGUUGCUCUUCACAGAUUGCGAUGGACAACCAUUCGGAAUCCCGAUCCCGAAGAAUCGCUACAUGUUGCUCGCCCGGAAGUUAAAAGCUCAGCCAAUGGACCCGAAUGCAUGGACCGCGUCCAAAUACUUAAAAUGGCGGGCAAUGUAUGGAAAACGAAGUUUACCGGCAGACGACGACUACUACAGCUUCUGACGUCAUGGACUGACCGAUAACACUUUUGAAGAUUGCAUGACGAAUUAUUUCCACAGAGUACCAAACCGGAUCUCUUUAACACAGUCAUAAUUAUUUUCAAGCUUUCGUAUUUGUUGUUUUGAUGUCAUGGUUCCUUGAAAAUUGAUAAUAACUGAAUUUCAUAUAAACAAUUUAUUUUUUUUUAACACUAUUACAAUAUUUCUAAUUCAAAUUCCCGUGUUCGUUGUUUCGAUGUCAUGGAAAAUUUGAUAGUACUUUGUAUUUGAAUUUAUAAAACCCAGUUUCUUCUGAAUAUAUCUGCCUUGUUUGUGUAACCGUAUGAGAUUCAAAAUGAAAUUCUUAAAACUAAAAGUCUAUUUUUAUAUCAGUGCAUCGUUGGUUGUGAUGUGACGUUAUUUUUGUAUAAUAAGGACCCACCCUUCCAAAAUAACAUAGGUUUUGUUUCUUUUUCAGAGGAGAAAACGUUUAAAUUUCAAUUGCAAUAAUUUCCAGUGAAAAGGAAAGAUUCACACUGCCAAUAGAAAUAUUAUAUUUUAUGUUGUAUUUAAAAACAUUACUUAGACUGAUUCAAAGUUUUGUAUUUUUAUGUAUGUUAUCAAAAUAAAUAUGAAUUCAAGUAUAA